rnacentral:rRNA from 1 species
GUGAGGAAUAUUGGUCAAUGGACGAGAGUCUGAACCAGCCAAGUCGCGUGAAGGAAGACGGUUCUAUGAAUUGUAAACUUCUUUUGUGCAGGAAUAAAGUGGGUUACGUGUAACCUUUUGUAUGUACUGUACGAAUAAGGAUCGGCUAACUCCGUGCCAGCAGCCGCGGUAAUACGGAGGAUCCGAGCGUUAUCCGGAUUUAUUGGGUUUAAAGGGUGCGUAGGUGGAUUGAUAAGUCAGCGGUGAAAGUUUGCAGCUUAACUGUAAAAUUGCCGUUGAAACUGUCGGUCUUGAGUGCAAAUGAGGUAGGCGGAAUGUGUUGUGUAGCGGUGAAAUGCUUAGAUAUAACACAGAACUCCGAUUGCGAAGGCAGCUUACUGGGAUGCAACUGACACUGAUGCACGAAAGCGUGGGUAUCAAACAGGAUUAGAAACCCUUGUAGUCC